rnacentral:lncRNA from 1 species
CAGGACACCUGACAGGAAUGCAGGGUGUGGAGUGGCCCGCAGGCUGUGGGGAUGACAUGGAAGAAACUGAAAGCUGGAGAACUGCUGGGCAGAGAUGUAGAGGAUGUCUCUAGUGGUCUCCAAGUCAGCACUAGCCAGAGAUGACGGCUAUGGACAUCAGAUUGUCUCCAAGAGAAGUGAAUCUUCCUCCUGGAUUUUCUGGAAACUGGUCUGUAACAGAGGCAUGAUGGGACGUUUUCCACUAUGCCUCCGUGUUGCCAGUGAGGGCAUUAGUCGUGGAGGAGGAGUGAGUGGUCUGGCGGAGUGAAGAUGUCCCUUUGACCAGCUGCGGGGUGGCCAACUCAAUUGAGUUCCGCAUUGAGGGUAAGAACUGAACUCUCUUUUAUUUCACAUUCUUGAAGGCUUUUCCUGGCUAGUGUUGAUUUGGCAGGAGUGUGCACUUGGGCUGUUGGGCUC